rnacentral:rRNA from 1 species
UUUGUGCACGCCCUGGUGCUCUCUCACAAUCCAUCUCACCCCCUUUGUGCAUCACCGCGUGGGUGCUCUCCUUUUGGUUUGUUCCGAAAGGGGGCAUUUGCGUUUUUAUACAAAACCACUGCAUGUGUAGAAUGUCUUACUAUUUGCGAUAAUGCGCAAUUAAUACAACUUUCAACAACGGAUCUCUUGGCUCUCGCAUCGAUGAAGAACGCAGCGAAAUGCGAUACGUAAUGUGAAUUGCAGAAUUCAGUGAAUCAUCGAAUCUUUGAACGCACCUUGCGCCCCUUGGAAUUCCGAGGGGCACACCCGUUUGAGUGUCGUGAACAUCCUUCAACCUUUCUUGGUUUCUUGACCGAGGAAGGCUUGGACUUUGGGGGUCCUUCAUUGCUGGCCUCUUUGAAGCCAGCUCCUCCUAAAUGGAUUAGUGUGGUCUGCUUUGCCGAUCCUUGACGUGAUAAGAUGUUUCUACGUCUUGGGUUUUGCACUGUCGCUUUAGACCCCGCUUCUAACUGUCUCGUCUUGCAUUCAAGACAGAGUUUUUAAACCUUGACCUCAAAUCGGGUGAGACUACCCGCUGAACUUAAGCAUAUCAAUAAGCGGAGGAAAAGAAACUAACAAGGAUUCCCCUAGUAACUGCGAGUGAAGCGGGAUGAGCUCAAAUUUUGAAUCUGGCGGUCUUUGGCUGUCCGAGUUGUAAUCUAGAGA